AGCAGCCGCGGUAAUUCCAGCUCCAAUAGCGUAUAUUAAAGUUGUUGCAGUUAAAAAGCUCGUAGUUGAAUUUCGGGAUCAAUAUGUUGGUCGUGCCUUGGUACGUACUGGCAUUAUCGAUUCCUACCUUCUGAAGAACCUCGAUGUCAUUAAUUUGGUGUCUCGGGGAAUCAGGACUGUUACUUUGAAAAAAUUGAGUGUUUAAAGCAGGCUCGCGCUUGAAUACAUUAGCAUGGAAUAAUGAAAUAGGACGUUUGAUUCUAUUUUGUUGGUUUCUAGGAUCGACGUAAUGAUUAAUAGGGAUAGUUGGGGGCAUUAGUAUUCAAUUGUCAGAGGUGAAAUUCUUGGAUUUAUUGAAGACUAACUACUGCGAAAGCAUUUGCCUAAGGAUGUUUUCAUUAAUCAAGAACGAAAGUUAGGGGAUCGAAGACGAUCAGAUACCGUCGUAGUCUUAACCAUAAACUAUGCCGACUAGGGAUCGGAUGAUGUUAAUUUUAUGUACUCAUUCGGCUACCG
rnacentral:misc_RNA from 1 species